AGUUGUGUGAUAAGCACAGAGCGAAUUAUUCUUUCGCCUUUUACUAAAGAAUACCGUGUGUUUGUCACAAAAAAUAACAUACAUUAAUUUUUGAAAGAGCUCCUUUUACAAAGGAGAC